rnacentral:rRNA from 1 species
CCUACGGGAGGCAGCAGUGAGGAAUAUUGGUCAAUGGACGCAAGUCUGAACCAGCCAAGUAGCGUGCAGGAUGACGGCCCUCCGGGUUGUAAACUGCUUUUAGUUGGGAAUAAAAGGGGGCUCGUGAGCCCCGUAUUGUAUGUACCAUAAGAAAAAGGACCGGCUAAUUUCGUGCCAGCAGCCGCGGUAAUACGGAAGGUCCGGGCUUUAUGCGGAUUUAGUGGGUUUAAAGGGAGCGUAGGUCGGCUUUUAAGUCAGUUGUGAAAGUCCGCGGCUCAACCGUGGAAUUGCAGUUGAAACUGGAAGCCUUGAGUGCAGACAGGGAUGGCGGAAUUCGUGGUGUAGCGGUGAAAUGCUUAGAUAUCAUGAAGAACUCCGAUCGCGAAGGCAAGUGUCCGGGGUGCAACUGACGCUGAGGCUCGAAAGUGCGGGUAUCAAACAGGAUUAGAUACCCCAGUAGUC